rnacentral:rRNA from 1 species
AGUGGAUGGGGAGCAACCUAGUUGUGCGUGUGUAAAGGUAGUGCCAAGAAAAGCGGUGAUCAUGAUGAAAAUCAAUUCCCGGUACCCGAAACCGACACAGGUGGGCAAGUAGAGAAUACUAAGGGGCGCGAGGUAACUCUCUCCAAGGAACUCGGCAAAAUGACCCCGUAACUUAGGGAGAAGGGGUGCCACCGAGAGGUGGUCGCAGUGAAGAGGCCCAGGCGACUGUUUAGCAAAAACAUAGGUCUCUGCAAACUCGAAAGAGGAGGUAUAGGGGCUGACGCCUGCCCAGUGCCGGAAGGUUAAAGAAGUUGGUCAGUCUUAGGAUGAAGCUAGCGACUGAAGCCCCGGUGAACGGCGGCCGUAACUAUAACGGUCCUAAGGUAGCGAAAUUCCUUGUCGGGUAAGUUCCGACCCGCACGAAAGGCGUAACGAUUUGGGCGCUGUCUCGGAGAGAGGCUCGGCGAAAUAGGAUUGUCUGUGAAGAUACGGACUACCUGCAUUUGGACAGAAAGACCCUAUGAAGCUUUACUAUAGCUUGGAAUUGUGUUCGGGCUUCCUGUGCGCAGGAUAGGUGGGAGGCGUAGAAGGUAUUCUUGUGGGGAUACUGGAGCCAACGGUGAGAUACCACUCUCAGGAGGCUAGAAUUCUAACUUAAUUAAGGACAGUUUCAGGUGGGUAGUUUGACUGGGGCGGUCGCCUCCAAAAAGGUAACGGAGGCGUACAAAGGUUCCCUCAGACUGGUUGGAAAUCAGUCGAAGAGUGCAAAGGCAGAAGGGAGCUUGACUGCGAGAAGUACAGUUCGAGCAGGGUGGAAACACGGUCUUAGUGAUCCGACGGUGCUGUGUGGAAGGGCCGUCGCUCAACGGAUAAAAGUUACUCUAGGAUAACAGGCUGAUCUCCCCCAAGAGUUCACAUCGACGGGGAGGUUUGGCACCUCGAUGUCGGCUCAUCGCAACCUGGGGCGGAAGUACGUCCCAAGGGUUGGGCUGUUCGCCCAUUAAAGCGGUACGUGAGCUGGGUUCAGAACGUCGUGAGACAGUUCGGUCCAUAUCCGAUGUAGGCGUGAGAAUAUUGAGAGGAGCCUUCCUUAGUACGAGAGGACCGGGAAGGACGCACCGCUGGUGUACCUGUUAUGAUGCCAAUUGUAAACGCAGGGUAGCCAAGUGCGGAGAGGAUAACCGCUGAAAGCAUCUAAGUGGGAAGCCCACCUCAAGAUGAGUAUUCUGGUGUAAGGUCACGGGAAGACGACCCGUAAAUAGGCACGAGGUGGAAGUGCAGAGAUGUAUGAAGCCGAAGUGUACUAAUAGACCGUCGGC